AUGCCCUUCACUACGGAAUAGCCUCUGGAAACGGAGAGUAAUACCGUAUGCGCCCUUCGGGGAAAGAUUUAUCGGUGAAGGAUUAGCCCGCGUCUGAUUAGAUAGUUGGUGGGGUAACGGCCUACCAAGUCGACGAUCAGUAGCUGGUUUGAGAGGAUGAUCAGCAACACUGGGACUGAGACACGGCCCAGACUCCUACGGGAGGCAGCAGUGGGGAAUCUUAGACAAUGGGCGCAAGUGAUCUAGCCAUGCCGCGUGAGUGACGAAGGCCUUAGGGUCGUAAAGCUCUUUCGCCAGGGAUGAUAAUGACAGUACCUGGUAAAGAAACCCCGGCUAACUCCGUGCCAGCAGCCGCGGUAAUACGGAGGGGGUUAGCGUUGUUCGGAAUUACUGGGCGUAAACGCGCGUAGCGGAUUGGAAAGUUGGGGGUGAAAUCCCGGGGCUCA
rnacentral:rRNA from 1 species